rnacentral:rRNA from 1 species
CAGCAGCCACGGUAAUACAGAGGGUGCGAGCGUUAAUCGGAUUUACUGGGCGUAAAGCGUGCGUAGGCGGCUUCUUAAGUUGGAUGUGAAAUCCCUGAGCUUAACUUAGGAAUUGCAUUCGAUACUGGAAAGCUAGAGUAUGGGAGAGGAUGGUAGAAUUCCAGGUGUAGCGGUGAAAUGCGUAGAGAUCUGGAGGAAUACCGAUGGCGAAGGCAGCCAUCUGGCCUAAUACUGACGCUGAGGUACGAAAGCAUGGGGAGCAAACAGGAUUAGAUACCCCUGUAGUCCCUGUCUCUUAUAC